rnacentral:rRNA from 1 species
CCUACGGGGGGCUGCAGUGGGGAAUAUUGGACAAUGGGGGCAACCCUGAUCCAGCCAUGCCGCGUGUGUGAAGAAGGCCCUCGGGUUGUAAAGCACUUUCAGUGAGGAAGAACGCCUGGUGGUUAAUACCCAUCAGGAAAGACAUCACUCACAGAAGAAGCACCGGCUAACUCCGUGCCAGCAGCCGCGGUAAUACGGAGGGUGCGAGCGUUAAUCGGAAUUACUGGGCGUAAAGCGCGCGUAGGUGGCUUGAUAAGCCGGUUGUGAAAGCCCCGGGCUCGACCUGGGAACGGCAUCCGGAACUGUCAAGCUAGAGUGCAGGAGAGGAAGGUAGAAUUCCCGGUGUAGCGGUGAAAUGCGUAGAGAUCGGGAGGAAUACCAGUGGCGAAGGCGGCCUUCUGGACUGACACUGACACUGAGGUGCGAAAGCGUGGGUAGCAAACAGGAUUUAGAUACCCCAGUAGUC